rnacentral:lncRNA from 1 species
UCAUUUCAAAUACUGGAAGGAAAUCUAGGGCAAAGUGUCUACCAAGGACUUCCUUCUAUUUCUUUCCCUCUUGGGCCUAUUGUUUUAAAAGACUUCAUUAAUUUAUUAAUUAAAAUGAUAAAACAAAUUAAGAUAUCAAGAUUUAACUCUCAAAGACAAUUCCUAGGAAGUAUAGAAUAACCAGUGCUAUCCCAGCGUAAAAUCCUGAAAAAGCAAAAAGACUAGGUGUUUAACCUAGCCUUUAUUCAACAGGUCAAUGCAAGUCAUGAGAAUAUUUUAUUCAGUGCUCAAUAAAAUAUUAUGCAAAUUAUUAAAAGAAUGGCAUUCUAAAAUUGAGUUAAAAAAGGGUAUUCACCACAUGGGUUGAUUGUAGAGCUAAGUGAAGCAACUCCAGUGGAAAGGCCACCUUUUGAAACUACUGAAGCCACAGAAGGUGUCGAAGAUGAAGUUGGUGUAGUAGAGGAGGCUGCUGAGGAUGGUAACCGUUCUCCAGACUCCAUAUCUAUGAGAAGGGAAAAUGUUAAUUCUCAGUAUCAGAUAAAAAAUUUUUUCAAAAGAAUUCAACAUAAACUUUUUGUAUACUUUUAAAAAUAUAAAAUAAAUUUCUAAAUACAUGUUCUUUGGAAAGAGAAAAUAUGGAGUAGAUAAAAACAAUAUAAUUUAAAAUACCAACUUAUGGAAUAAGUUUAAGUAUACCAAAUCCUCUUGAGUUUUCUUAUACCCCCCAAAUUAAUAGUGGUUUGAAUAUAGUAAUUUCACACAAAAUGUGUAUUGCCACAACCAUAAAUUAACAUGUUAUAUUCGUCUUAUUCAUCCCAAAUUACCUCACAUCAGUUCACUUGCAACAGAAUUCCUAUGUUACCUUAAUGAAUAAUUAAAAAAAAACACCACCACAUUUGAAUGGUCUGCCCCCUUAUCUUCUAAAUACAGAUAGCAAUAUACUUGUAGCUCUUAAGUGUCCAAGAAUCUGGCCUGGGAAUCCCCCCCAUACCCCUCAAAACAGGCAAAUACAUUUCAGAGUUUAACUUGAGGCAAGUUUAAACUAUGAUUUCAAAAUGGCCUUAGUUGUGACCCAUUUAAAAUGACAAAAGCACUUCUAAUCAUCUUUAUUAAUUUGUUGGGCUUUAUGGUUGUAGCCUUGCAUUGGUUUUAUUGCAAUAACUAAUGCUGAUAUUAAAAAUUUGGAAUAUAAUGGGCAUUUUAUAUUCAUUUUAAUACUCUAUGCAUGCACUGAUCCCACAAUCAAGCAAGAAAGUCAUUAAAUUCACAGAUGCUUUAAAGAGAACACGAUCUACAAUAAGAAAAAAGAUACUGCUUGCCUAUAAAUGAAUUUAUGAUCAGCCACAUGAAAACUCUUACCAUUUAAAUAAUCUAACUAUAGAAAGAUUUCUGUAUUGAAUUCUACAGGCAACUCACAGAAGAACUGUAUCUUUACUAAGAAAAAUAGUUGGAUUUCAUUUAAAAAAUUGACUAAUUAAAAUAAUGCAAGGCUAGUGUUUGCCUAAUUGUUGAUUGAAUCCAUAAAGUAUGUAGAUAAUUUUUCUCAUAAGAUAAGAUAUAUAUGGGGAAGGUAAUCUUAAAUUGACAUGCAACAUCAUUAGAAAGACCAUUUCAAUGAGCCUUCUAAUCAUAUAGAAUUCAAAAACUUCUCUUCAUAUUCUAGUAUUGCUGUAAAUCACUUCCAUAAAUGACAGUACUGCUAUGAUGAGUCUGUCCAUAUUCUUACAGAAUUUGUAUUUCUCUUUAUCAGCAUUCAUCAUGGGAAAGGCAUAGUUGCUACUGAUGGCUGCAUGCAACUAAUGUUUAAAGAGUAGGUUUUGGGUCAGCAACAGUAACUAAUGAACUCUGAGACAUGUGGCUGUCUGAUGGUAAGGCCCAUAAAAAUUAUUUUUACCAAGUCUAAUUUUCACUAAAUACAAAAAAUAUGGACUCUUUACCUAGAAGUGAGUUUAGGAAAAAGCUAUUUUUUCUUUAUAGCUGGUAACCUCAUUGUCUUCAAGAAUUCUAUCUGCUACGUAAAUAUACUAUGUAAAAAAAAUAAUGGAAGGGGUUUAAAAAAAUUUGCCUUUGUACUCCACAGCAGAAGUAAUUUGGUGACAUAAUAAGAUAAGCACUUUAGCUGAGUACUUGGCAUAUAAGAGAUCAAUAUAAAAUAGUCAUUAACUUUUUAUAGGAUAAUAUGCUAUGAAGUAUAGGUAUUUCUUAUUGUUGAUAAAACCUGAUUCAGGACUAAAGUAAGGAAAAUCAAGAAGGCAAAAGAAGUAGUCUUGUAUACAUACUGCUUAAUGGAUAUUACUUUCCCUGAAGAAUUAAUCUGAAUAAUUAUUUAAAUAAACGCACAUGCACAAAUAUGUGUGCGCGUGCACACACACACACACACUCACAGAUAAAGUAUCAUUAGGUAAAGUGAUAUAUACAACGUUGUUUGCUACAGUACUGCUUAAAAAUAAAAUUUAAAACUGGCAAUGAGAGUAGAACUAGAGCUAGUAGUAUAGGCUGGGGCCUUUUUUAGUUUCAGUAAAGGUGUAAUUUUUUUUCUUCUAU